GGUGUUUGUACUGGAUGAGAAAUAUUUAGUGAGUAUAUUAAGUGCCAUCCAACAUACUAAAUAGCCUUGGUAACUUAAGGAGUCACGAGGAUUUAUGAUAGAAUAUCAUUCCCAUAUCUUCUACUAUAUUAGACAUUUCUUAGUGUUAACUUUUGUAAUGAAUCUAAAAUGUUGGGUGGAUGAUGUUUCCAAAAUUUUUUUUUUAUCUUAAAAUCUACUCCAACA
rnacentral:lncRNA from 1 species